GCCUGGAUGGCUCAGUUGGUAAAGCCUAUGACUCUUGAUCUUAGGGUUGUGAGUUCAAGCCCCACCUUGGGUA
rnacentral:tRNA from 1 species